CACGAACCACGCCUGUUAUACGGACUCUGAUCCUUGCUGCCUGCCCUUGACCCAAGCCUGCAUAACGGAUCCUGGUUCUCGCUCACUCCCUUCCACUCAUGCCUGCUAUGGGCACAGAUUUGCUUUCUGGACUGAGGAGGCAAGAAGUGUCUUGGAUGGAAAGAUUCUGCUCCUUUUUAGGGUGAAAAGAAAAACCACAUCCAAUCUUCCGGCACAUGUCCAAGCAGUUCAAGAUCGGGAAAGGAAUGACAAAAGAUUAGUGGACUUGAUUAUCACAUCAAAAUCAGCAGAGCAGCAUUUGGUGGUAUAGAUGGUUCCACUUUAAAUUACUCCUCUAGACUCUGAGUAUGGUUGACUUAAAUAUAGUCAAGUGACAAUUUAACUAUUAUUUGCCAAAUAUAAUUAAUUACUUGUGCAUUUACAUAUGAAAUAUAAUUUCCUUCUAUGGCCCAAAGGAUAUACUCGGUGGGAAAAGGUGAAAUUGGUUUCCACUAAAACCCCGUUCUCAUGUGCCUGUCUACAUUGAGAAUGAGCAGUCCCAGUCAAUCAUUUGUGACUACAUCAGAGGAAUUCUUAAUAAAACCAAAACACAGCUGACCUUCAAUGAUGAGGUGGAGUUCAUUUGUGGAUGUCUCCUCCCAGAGGCCAUAACUCAUGGCAUUUCCGAGUUACAAGGCUUGUCUUGGCAGGAGGCUGAAGAUGUCUUCCUCCAGGGCCCCAUUUAUCACGCAAGUGAAGUUGAGGAAUUUAACAGAAGAAUUGCUCGAGAAAUGAAAAAUCUCCCCAACAAGAAUGUAAAGCAUUUUAUUUUAUAUGUAAUAAAUACAUUAUU